rnacentral:rRNA from 1 species
CCUACGGGAGGCAGCAGUGAGGAAUAUUGGGCAAUGGGCGCAAGCCUGACCCAGCAAAGCCGCGUGCAGGAAGAAGGCCCUCGGGUUGUAAAAUUCUUUUUUCAGGGACGUAAAAAAUGACGGUACCUCCUGAUUAAGCCACUGCUAACUGCGUGCCAGCCGCCGCGGUCAUAUGUAGGUGGCACGCGUUAGCCGGAUUUACGGGGGGUAACGGGCGUGUAGGGGGGAUAUUAAGUCAGACGUGAAAUUCCAGGGCUCAACCCUGGAACUGCGUUUGAAACUGGUGGUCUUGAGUGAUGGAGAGGCAGGCGGAAUUCCGGGUGUAGCGGUGAAAUGCUUAGAUAGUGCGCAGAACUCCGAUUGCGAAGGCAGCAGACCGGCGGGGAACUGACGCUGAGGCACGAAAGCGUGGGUAUCGAACAGGAUUAGAUACCCGAGUAGUC